AUUGAACGCUGGCGGCAGGCCUAACACAUGCAAGUCGAGCGGAUGAAGGGAGCUUGCUCCUGGAUUCAGCGGCGGACGGGUGAGUAAUGCCUAGGAAUCUGCCUGGUAGUGGGGGAUAACGUCCGGAAACGGGCGCUAAUACCGCAUACGUCCCGAGGGAGAAAGUGGGGGAUCUUCGGACCUCACGCUAUCAGAUGAGCCUAGGUCGGAUUAGCUAGUUGGUGGGGUAAAGGCCUACCAAGGCGACGAUCCGUAACUGGUCUGAGAGGAUGAUCAGUCACACUGGAACUGAGACACGGUCCAGACUCCUACGGGAGGCAGCAGUAGGGAAUAUUGGACAAUGGGCGAAAGCCUGAUCCAGCCAUGCCGCGUGUGUGAAGAAGGUCUUCGGAUUGUAAAGCACUUUUAGUUGGGAGGAAGGGCAGUAAGUUAAUACCUGGCUGUUUUGACGUUACCAACAGAGUAAGCACCGGCUAACUUCGUG
rnacentral:rRNA from 1 species